GACGAACGCUGGCGGCGUGCUUAACACAUGCAAGUCGAACGGAAAGUGCUCUUCGGAGUGACUCGAGUGGCGAACGGGUGAGUAACACGUGGGUGAUCUGCCCUGCACUUUGGGAUAAGCCUGGGAAACUGGGUCUAAUACCGAAUAGGACCGCAACACUCAUGUGUUGUGGUGGAAAGCUUUUGCGGUGUGGGAUGGGCCCGCGGCCUAUCAGCUUGUUGGUGGGGUAAUGGCCUACCAAGGCGACGACGGGUAGCCGGCCUGAGAGGGUGAGCGGCCACACUGGGACUGAGAUACGGCCCAGGCUGCUACGGGAGGCAGCAGUGGGGAAUAUUGCACAAUGGGCGCAAGCCUGAUGCAGCGACGCCGCGUGGGGGAUGACGGCCUUCGGGUUGUAAACCUCUUUCAGUAGGGACGAAGCGCAAGUGACGGUACCUACAGAAGAAGCACCGGCCAACUACGUGCCAGCAGCCGCCGUAA
rnacentral:rRNA from 1 species